rnacentral:lncRNA from 1 species
UGAGAUAAUUAGAGAAGAUAGUGAUAGAGAGAUGAGAGAGUGAGAGAUAGUGAAAAGAGAAAUGAGAGAGUGAGUGAGAGUGAGAGAUAGUGAAGUGAAAGAUUAGAGAUUAAGUGAGAGGAGUGAGUGUUAGAGAAAGGGUGGGAUUUGGGGAGAGGGAAAGAGAGAGGAGAGGUAAGAGUAGAGAAAGACAUUGAGAAAAUGGUGGAGGAGUUAUUUCGGUUUUAAAAACUGUAUCACUUUGCGCGACGAAAAAUAUUGUUUGUAACGACCUGGUCCUAAAUAAAUGUCUCAUUAUUAAUUAAACAUGAUAAAAGACCAUUUUUGC